rnacentral:rRNA from 1 species
CAAUAGCGUAUAUUAAAGUUGUUGCAGUUAAAAAGCUCGUAGUUGGAUUUCUGGUAGGAGCGACCGUGCCGAACUUGAUUGUUCGAGUCUUGUGUUGUCUUCAGCCAUCCUCGUGGAGAACUUUUCUAACAUUAACUUGUUGGGAUUGGGACCCGCGUCGUUUACUGUGAAAAAAUUAGAGUGUUUAAAGCAGGCAUUAGCUUGAAUACAUUAGCAUGGAAUAAUAAGAUAGGACUUUGGUACUAUUUUGUUGGUUUGCAUACCAAAUUAAUGAUCAACAGGAACAGUUUGAGGAUAUUCGUAUGAACAUGUCAGAGGUGAAAUUCUUGGAUUUUGAUCAGACGAACUACUGCGAAAGCAUUUAUCAAGGAUGUUUUCAUUAA